rnacentral:rRNA from 1 species
AACGAACGCUGGCGGCAGGCCUAACACAUGCAAGUCGAGCGAAGCCUUCGGGCUUAGCGGCGGACGGGUGAGUAACGCGUGGGAACGUGCCCUUUGGUACGGAAUAGCCCCGGGAAACUGGGAGUAAUACCGUAUGUGGUCGAGAGACGAAAGAUUUAUCGCCAAAGGAUUGGCCCGCGUUGGAUUAGGUAGUUGGUGGGGUAAUGGCCUACCAAGCCGACGAUCCAUAGCUGGUUUGAGAGGAUGAUCAGCCACACUGGGACUGAGACACGGCCCAGACUCCUACGGGAGGCAGCAGUGGGGAAUCUUAGACAAUGGGGGAAACCCUGAUCUAGCCAUGCCGCGUGAUCGAUGAAGGCCUUAGGGUUGUAAAGAUCUUUCGGUGGGGAAGAUAAUGACUGUACCUACAGAAGAAGCCCCGGCUAACUCCGUGCCAGCCGCCGCCGUAAAAC